UUCCAGACUCCUACGGGAGGCAGCAGUGGGGGAUAUUGCACAAUGGGGGAAACCCUGAUGCAGCGACGCCGCGUGUGGGAAGACGGUCCUCUGGAUUGUAAACCACUGUCCCCAGGGACGAAAAUGACGGUACCUGGGGAGGAAGCUCCGGCUAACUACGUGCCAGCAGCCGCGGUAAUACGUAGGGGGCAAGCGUUAUCCGGAUUUACUGGGUGUAAAGGGAGCGUAGACGGCAGUGCAAGUCCGGAGUGAAAGCCCGGGGCUCAACCCUGGGACUGCUCUGGAAACUGUAAAGCUGGAGUGCGGGAGGGGCAGGCGGAAUUCCUGGUGUAGCGGUGAAAUGCGUAGAUAUCAGGAGGAACACCGGCGGCGAAGGCGGCCUGCUGGACCGUAACUGACGUUGAGGCUCGAAAGCGUGGGGAGCAAACAGGAUUAGAUACCCUGGUAC
rnacentral:rRNA from 1 species